rnacentral:rRNA from 1 species
UACGUAGGCAGCGAGCGUUGUUCGGAAUUACUGGGCGUAAAGAGUGUGUAGGCGGUGUUCCAAGUUCGGUGUGAAGUCUCCCGGCUUAACUGGGAGGGUGCGCCGAAAACUGGAAUGCUCGAGCGUGGGAGAGGAAAGCGGAAUUCCUGGUGUAGCGGUGAAAUGCGUAGAUAUCAGGAGGAACACCAGCGGUGUAGACGGCUUUCUGGACCAUUGCUGACGCUGAGACACGAAAGCGUGGGUAGCAAACAGG